rnacentral:rRNA from 1 species
CCUACGGGAGGCAGCAGUGGGGAAUAUUGCACAAUGGGGGAAACUCUGAUGCAGCGACGCCGCGUGAGUGAAGAAGUAUCUCGGUACGUAAAGCUCUAUUAGUAGGGAAGAAAAUGACGGUACCUGACUAAGAAGCCCCGGCUAACUACGUGCCAGCAGCCGCGGUAAUACGUAGGGGGCAAGCGUUAUCCGGAUUUACUGGGUGUAAAGGGAACGUAGACGGCAGCACAAGUCUGGAGUGAAAUCCCGGGGCUUAACCCCGGAACUGCUGUGGAAACUGUGCGGCUGGAGUGCAGGAGGGGUAAGCGGAAUUCCUGGUGUAGCGGUGAAAUGCGUAGAUAUUAGGAGGAACACCGAUGGCGAAGGCAGCUUACUGGACUGUAACUGACGUUGAGGCUCGAAAGCGUGGGGAGCAAACAGGAUUAGAUACCCUGGUAGUC